rnacentral:tRNA from 1 species
CCGGAGUAGCAGUUAUUGGCUGUUGCGUAUGGCUUUGAUCCAGAAGUUCGCAGGGUCGAUUCCUGCCUUCGGUG